ACUUCCUUGUUCCCCGGCAAGCGACCCAAUGGUCGCCGCCACUGCCACUGCCACUGCCACCGCUUCAAGAGCGCCCUGCGAGGAGCUUUCCUCCGACCAAUGUCCUGAAGGGCACCUUUAUUACCACCCCGCUAAAAACAGUACUUAUUUAUCUACCCGCAUUUCUGCUUUUGACCUUCUAGGUGGACAGGGUCUGGAUGCCUGAAAUGAGGUGCAUAGAGAAGAACGAGGGGAAACUGGGCAGUGGUGCUUCCUCCGUGGGAUGAGAUUCUUCCACAAAAGAAUAGGCCACAAAGUACCGAGGGACGCCUGGCAAACUUCACUAACCGCGGAUGUUUCAGAAUGGAAUUCAGGAAUCUCACCAGGCUGAAAGCAAAUGACAGAAGACUUUAUUCCAUCUGCACAGAAAGGACACUUGUACAGCAAUGGGUGCUCAAAAGGCACAAGUGUAAAAGCAUAAUAAUAAAGCCGGCAUUUUGAUACACAA